rnacentral:rRNA from 1 species
GGACUCCCUGUCCUAGAUUUCAUCUGGACUUUUCAAGUGAUUUUCGUACCACCUGACAAAAAUGAAUCGAAAUCCGAAAUGACUCCCUGUCCUAGUGUUUGAAAUUUGAUGCGGAACCCAAAAUACAGUUAAAAAUUUAGGAGAUUUUAUUUGGAAUUUUCGAGUGAUUUGCGUACCACCCAACAAAAAUAGACCGAAAACCGUAUUUUCGGACCAGACGAUAGCUAGUAUUUGAAAUUGUACGCGGAACCCGAAAGACAGUUAUGAAUUUACAAGACGAAUGCUAUAAAGCUCUCCUGGUCCACAAUUUCAUUUCGACGUUUCGGGAGAUUUUCGUACCACCCAACAAAAAUGGACCGAAAUCCGUAUUUUUGAACAAUACGAUGGCUAGAGUUUAUAAUCUGACGCGGAACCUGUAACCUAGUUAUCAAUUUAUGAGAAGAAUGCUAUAAGGGUCUCUUUGUCCUCUAUUUCAUUAGGUCUUUUCUGUCGAUUUUUGUUUUCCCGACAAAAAUGGAUCGAAAUCCGUAUUUUCAGACCAAACGAUGGCUAGGGUUUGAAAUUUGACGCCGAACCCGAAACAUAGUUAUAAAAUUAGGAGAAGAAUGCUAUAAGGGUCUCUUGGUCCUCGAUUUCAUAAAGACUUUUCAGGAAAUUUUCGUACCACCCCGACAAAAAUAGAUUGAAAUUCGUAUUUUCGGACCACUUAUAUAUUAAGGAGAAGAAUGCUAUAAGCGUCUCCCCUCGACAAAAAUGGACAUUUUGGGCGAUUUUUUCUACCCCUCGACAAAAAUUGAUCAAAAUCUGUAUUUUCGGACCAGACGAUGGCUAGUGUUUGAAAUCUGAUGCGUAACUCGAAACACAGUUAUACAUUUCGAUUAUAACAGCAGGACGGUGGUCAUGAAAGUCGAAAUUUGCUAUAGAGUGUGUAACAAUUCACCUGCCGAAUCAACUAGCCCCGAAAAUGGAUGGCGCUAAAGCGCGUGGCCUAUACCCGACCGUUGGGGCAAGGGCCAGGCCUCGAUGAGUAGGAGAGCACGGCGAUCGGUGCAAAACCCGGGGCGCGAGCCUAGGCGGAGCGGUCGUCGGGGCAGAUCUUGGUGGAAGUAGCAAAUAUUCAAAUGAGAACUUUGAAGGCCGAAGAGGGGAAAGGUUCCAUGUGAACGACAAUUGCACAAGGGUUAGUCGAUCCUAAGGGACGGGGGGGAAGCCCGUCUGAUAGCGCUCUAAGCGCGUACACCGAAAUUGAUUCGGGUUAAAAUUCCUGAACCGGGACGUGGUGGCUGACGGUAACGUUAGGGAGUCUGGAGACGUUGGCGGGGCCCCGGAGGUAGGGUCCAGCGGCUCGAAGAGCACCGCACGUCCCGUGGUGUCCGGUGUGCCCCUGGCGGCCCUUGAAAAUCCAGAGGACCGAGUGCCUUCCAUGCCCGAUCGUACUCAUAACCGCAUCAGGUCUCCAAGGUGAACAACCUCUGGUCGAUGGAACAAUGUAGGCAAGGGAAGUCGACAAAAUGGAUUCGUAACCUCGGGAAAAGGAUUGGCUCUGAGGGCUGGGCACAGGGGUCCCAGUUCCGAACCCGUCGGCUGUUGGUGGACUGCUUGAGCUGCUCCCGCGGCAAAAGAGGGUCGCCGCGUGCCGGUCGGGGGACAGAUUGGGAACGGGACCUUCGGGGCUUCUUCCCCGGGCAUCGAACAGUCAACUCAGAACUGGUACGGACAAGGAGAAUCCGACUGUUUAAUUAAAACAAAGCAUUGUGAUGGUCCCUGCAGAUGUUGACGCAAUGUGAUUUCUGCCCAGUGCUCUGAAUGUCAAAGUGAAGAAAUUCAACAAAGCGCGGGUAAACGGCGGGAGUAACUAUGACUCUCUUAAGGUAGCCAAAUGCCUCGUCAUCUAAUUAGUGACGUGCAUGAAUGGAUUAACGAGAUUCCCAUUGUCCAUGUCUACUAUCCAGCGAAACCACAGCCAAGGGAACAGGCUUGGCGGAAUCAGCGGGGAAAGAAGACCCUAUUGAGCUUGACUCUACUCCGACUUUGUGAAAUGACUUGAGAGGUUUAGGAUAAGUGGGAGCUGGAAACAACGAAAGUGACAUACCACUACUUUUAACGAUAUUUUACUUAUCCCGUGAAUCGGAGGCGGGGCGCUGCCCCUCUUUUUGGAUCCGAGGCUGACUUCGGUUGGCCAAUCCGGGCGGAAGACAUUGUCAGGUGAAAAGUUUGGCUGGGGCGGCACAUCUGUUAAAAGAUAACGCAGGUGUCCUAAGAUUAGCUCAACGAGAACAGAAAUCUCGUGUGGAACAAAAGGGUAAAAGCUCGUUUGAUUCUGAUCUCCAGUACGAAUACGAACCCUAAAAGUGUGGCCUAUCGAUCCUUUAGUCCUUCGGAAUUUGAAGCUUGAGGUGUCAGAAAAGUUACCACAUGGAUAAAUGGCUUGUGGCAGCCAAGCGUUCAUAGUGACGUUGCUUUUUGAUCCUUCGAUGUCGGCUCUUCUUAUCAUUGUGAAGCAGAAUUCACCAAGUGUUGGAUUGUUCCCCCACCAAUAGGGAACGUGAGCUGGGUUUAAACCGUCGUGAAACAGGUUAGUUUUACCCUACUGAUGACAGUGUCGCAAUAGUAAUUCAACCUAGUAUACGAGAGGCACUGUUGAUUCGCACAAUUGGUCAUCGCGCUUGGUAGAAAAGUCAGUGGCGCGAAGCUACCGUGCGUUGGAUUAUGACUGAACGCCUCUAAGUCAGAAUCCGGGCUAGAAGCGAUACGUGUGCCCGUUCUUCACUUGCCGACCAGCAAUAGGGGGCCUUGGCCCCCCCAGAGGCACGUGUCGUUGGUGGACCUCGUAAGGCGGAUGAGCCUUGUAGGACACCUUGAAUAGAAAUUCCUAUUGAGCGACGGGUAGAAUAUUUUGCAGACGACUUAAAUACGCGACGAGGUAUUGUAAGUGGCAGAGUG